CACUCCUGCGGGAGGCAGCAGUGGGGAAUAUUGCACAAUGGGCGCAAGCCUGAUGCAGCCAUGCCGCGUGUAUGAAGAAGGCCUUCGGGUUGUAAAGUACUUUCAGCGGGGAGGAAGGCGAUAAGGUUAAUAACCUUGUUGAUUGACGUUACCCGCAGAAGAAGCACCGGCUAACUCCGUGCCAGCAGCCGCGGUAAUACGGAGGGUGCAAGCGUUAAUCGGAAUUACUGGGCGUAAAGCGCACGCAGGCGGUCUGUCAAGUCGGAUGUGAAAUCCCCGGGCUCAACCUGGGAACUGCAUUCGAAACUGGCAGGCUAGAGUCUUGUAGAGGGGGGUAGAAUUCCAGGUGUAGCGGUGAAAUGCGUAGAGAUCUGGAGGAAUACCGGUGGCGAAGGCGGCCCCCUGGACAAAGACUGACGCUCAGGUGCGAAAGCGUGGGGAGCAAACAGGAUUAGAUACCCGAGUAGUCCCAUG
rnacentral:rRNA from 1 species